AGUAACACGUAAGUAAUCUACCUUCGAGUGGGGAAUAACGUCCGGAAACGGACGCUAAUACCGCAUAAUGCAGCGGCAUCGCAAGAUGACAGUUGUUAAAGAAUUUAUUCGCUUGAAGAGGAGCUUGCGGCAGAUUAGCUAGUUGGUAGGGUAAUGGCUUACCAAGGCUACGAUCUGUAACCGGUCUAAGAGGACGGUCGGUCACACUGACACUGAAUAACGGGUCAG
rnacentral:rRNA from 1 species